UUUGUUUUGUGUUUUGUCUGUCAAGUUGCUGGCUUUCUAGCGAAAACGGUCUGAUCUGGAUUUUCAUUGUCAUUGUUUUGCUGAUUGGAUUGCUUAACCUUGUGAUCCUUGUACGGGUUAUCAGGGAGAUGACGACAAUGCAUCAAACCAAGGACAACCAAUCUGAAAAAAUCAGAUAAGAAGUCGUUUCAAAAGAAAGCUCCACUCCAUUUUUCCAUCGGCAGACAAUGGAACCAAUAUCAAAAGAAGCUCUGAAGGAAAUGAAAAUGCCAGCGGCAAUAUCUCGAUAAAGAAGAUCAUAACUAAACAUAGCGUUGUGACCGAAAUAAAAAAUGACGGUUCAGAGAAAGCCUUUUGCCUAUAAUUUUGAAUGCAUAUACUCAAAUAAGACACUGGUUAGUUUAUAAUUGAAUAAAGGCUGAUAGUUUCUAAAGAAACCGUUUGGGGCUGCGUCGGUGG